UUAAAUUGAAGAGUUUGAUCAUGGCUCAGAUUGAACGCUGGCGGCAGGCCUAACACAUGCAAGUCGAACGGUAACAGGAAGCAGCUUGCUGCUUUGCUGACGAGUGGCGGACGGGUGAGUAAUGUCUGGGAAACUGCCCG
rnacentral:rRNA from 1 species